AUUGAACGCUGGCGGCAGGCCUAACACAUGCAAGUCGAACGAGCGGCGGACGGGUGAGUAAUGUCUGGGAAACUGCCUGAUGGAGGGGGAUAACUACUGGAAACGGUAGCUAAUACCGCAUACCAUCAGAUGUGCCCAGGUGGGAUUAGCUGGUUGGGGGGGUAAAGGCUCACCAAGGCGACGAUCCCUAGCUGGUCUGAGAGGAUGACCAGCCACACUGGGACUGAGACACGGCCCAGACUCCUACGGGAGGCAGCAGUGGGGAAGAUGGCACAAUGGGCGCAAGCCUGAUGCAGCCAUGCCGCGUGUAUGAAGAAGGCCUUCGGGUUGUAAAGUACUUUCAGCGGGGAGGCGUUACCCGCAGAAGAAGCACCGGCUAACUCCGUGCCAGCCGCCGCGGUAAUAC
rnacentral:rRNA from 1 species